rnacentral:rRNA from 1 species
AAUAGAUACCCUGGUAGUCCACGCCGUAAACGAUGAGUGCUAAGUGUUAGAGGGCUUCCACCCUUUAGUGCUGCAGCUAACGCAUUAAGCACUCCGCCUGGGGAGUACGGCCGCAAGGCUGAAACUCAAAGGAAUUGACGGGGGCCCGCACAAGCGGUGGAGCAUGUGGUUUAAUUCGAAGCAACGCGAAGAACCUUACCAGGUCUUGACAUCCUUCGCUACCUCUAGAGAUAGAGGGUUCCCCUUCGGGGGACGGAGUGACAGGUGGUGCAUGGUUGUCGUCAGCUCGUGUCGUGAGAUGUUGGGUUAAGUCCCGCAACGAGCGCAACCCUUGACCUUAGUUGCCAGCAUUCAGUUGGGCACUCUAAGGUGACUGCCGGUGACAAACCGGAGGAAGGUGGGGAUGACGUCAAAUCAUCAUGCCCCUUAUGACCUGGGCUACACACGUGCUACAAUGGAUGGUACAAAGGGUCGCGAAACCGCGAGGUGGAGCUAAUCCCAAAAAACCAUUCUCAGUUCGGAUUGCAGGCUGCAACUCCG